rnacentral:rRNA from 1 species
AAGAGUAAAAUCAAAAUAUUUAUUAGAAGAUUAAUAUUUUAAUUGAUACUAAAAUAAUUUAGAUUUAAACUAGGAUUAGAUACCCUAUUAUACUAAAAUUUAAUAAAAACUAAAAUAUUAUAAGAUACAACCUUUAAAUUUAAAGAAUUUGGCGGUAAUUUAGUCUCUUCAGAGGAACCUGUUUCUUAAUCGAUAAACCACGAAAAAUCUUACUUAAGCUUGUAUACCGUCAUUAGCAGAUAAUAUUUAGAGAUAUAUUAUUAAAUUUUAAAAAUUAAAAUAAAUUAGAUCAAGGUGCAGCCUAUGAAUAAGUUGGAAUGGGUUACAAUUAAGUUUAUAUAAAUAUGGAAUAAAAUUUAGGAAGGAGGAUUUGAUUGUAUAGGAAUUAAUAAGAUAAAAAGAUAUAAGCUCUAAAUUAUGUACAUAUCGCCCGUCGCUUUC